rnacentral:rRNA from 1 species
UACGAAGGGGGCUAGCGUUGCUCGGAAUCACUGGGCGUAAAGCGCACGUAGGCGGCUUCUUAAGUCAGGGGUGAAAUCCUGGAGCUCAACUCCAGAACUGCCUUUGAUACUGAGGAGCUUGAGUCCGGGAGAGGUGAGUGGAACUGCGAGUGUAGAGGUAAAAUUCGUAGAUAUUCGCAAGAACACCAGUGGCGAAGGCGGCUCACUGGCCCGGUACUGACGCUGAGGUGCGAAAGCGUGGGGAGCAAACAGGG